GGACGACGUAGUGGAAGAUUCCAUCUCAAAGAUACUGAAUGGCAUAGUGGAAAAUUCCAUUAACUGAUAGGAAAUGACGCAGCAGAAUCUUCUGCAACCUUCUAGAGUCCAAGAUGGCAUCAUAAGGGGGCACAGCUAGACGGGAAGUCACACGUAGGUACACGAGACCAAGCACAUGUGUCUUGCAGCUUCUGAUCUCAUCCAAAUCCACUACAACUUCAGACUGCUGGCUAUCUGGAAAACAGCUACCUGAGAAGCAGCAGCAGCAGCAAUAGAACCCUGAGGUUGCCCUGGCAAUGGCUGCCAUAGCAACUCAGCCAGCAGUCUUGCCAGCAGCAGCUACAAACAGCUACAGCGACCAGCAGGCUUACCUAUCUGUCACUAGAGGGCAGCUUUCGCCUCAGUAGUAGCCGUCUCUCUCUUAUGGCAGACAAUAUUAAGUACAAGCAGACAGCGCUUCCUUUUUGACAAAUCAGAAAGACCCUACUGAUGAUUCAGAGAGUUGUAAGAAUAGUAGAAAUGUAGUGUCUAUUCACUAUCAAGGAAUGUGUGGGUUUUGCCUGUAAAUAAAGUUGGAUGCCAAUGGUCUGAGUGAGAUCUUCCCCUACCCAUCCGAUAGUCAGUUGGCCAGCACUUACUGGAUGUUAAAUGUUACAUAUUGAAUGUUAAAAGUCAAAUAGUGUUAAGUAAAUGGUUACAUUGUUA